rnacentral:lncRNA from 1 species
CCCAGCCAAAAAAAAAAAAAAAUUGUGACUCAAAACAAGCUGUGAGCGAGCUGGGAAGGAUCGCCUCUCUCUGAGACGGGUGGUUUUCUCGGCCGUUUCUCACUGAGGUCAGGACGUGUGCAGCUGGGGCAAAGGAGAAAGGCAGACAGGAAACUGGAGCAGCGGUUUCUUUGAUGGUGACCAUCUGCAGAGAAGAGUGGAGUCUGAAGACACUCAUUGUGAAGGCUGAUGCUGCUUGUCAACUCGACUUUAUUUGCAAAUGACAAAACACAGGCAGCUGGACACACCUGGGAGGAUUUUCUUGAUUGGAUCAUUUGAGGUGGAAGACCCACCCUAAAUCCUGCCCACACCUUCUGGUACAGAAAAGGACAUGGAAGAAGGAAGCUUUUGCAUUUUGGCUGCUUGCCCCAACUCUUGUUGGCAAGAUCAUCUCUACUGUUGCUAAGACAUCCACUCCUUCUCUGGUGUUAGAAUUGACUUCUUCAGGACUCCAGUGUAGACUGAAGACCAGCAGCUCUCUAGGAAUCCUUCAGGACUCCAGCAGCAGCAGCAGCCUGGGAGUGCUAAGACAUUCAGUCUCAUGAUCUGAAUAAAUACUGGCUCCUUGGCCUUUUCACCAGGAGACAGCAUUAUUGGACUACUUGGACCACAGCCUAGAAGCCAUACUAACAAAUAUAUAAAUAUGUUAUUUAUGUACAUAUUAAGAUAUAACAUAUAUGCAUAUGAUAUGUGUGUGAUAUAUGUAUGUGGUGUGUGUAUGUAUGUAUAUAUAUAUAUAUAUAUGUGUGUGUGUGUGUGUGUGUAUGUAUGU